GAUGAAUGCUGGCGGCGUGCUUAACACAUGCAAGUCGAGCGAGAGAGUUUCUUCGGAAACAAUCUAGCGGCGGACGGGUGAGUAACACGUGGGCAACCUGCCUUGUAGUGGGGGAUAGCCCUCCGAAAGGAGGAUUAAUACCGCAUAUUGUCACAUUGAGGCAUCUCAAAGUGAUAAAAGGAGUAAUCCGCUACAAGAUGGGCCCGCGGCGCAUUAGCUAGUUGGUGAGGUAACGGCUCACCAAGGCGACGAUGCGUAGCCGACCUGAGAGGGUGAUCGGCCACAUUGGGACUGAGACACGGCCCAGACUCCUACGGGAGGCAGCAGUGGGGAAUAUUGCACAAUGGGGGAAACCCUGAUGCAGCAACGCCGCGUGAGUGAUGAAGGUCUUCGGAUUGUAAAGCUCUGUCUUCGGGGACGAUAAUGACGGUACCCGAGGAGGAAGCCACGGCUAACUACGUGCCAGCAGCCGCCGUAA
rnacentral:rRNA from 1 species